rnacentral:rRNA from 1 species
GGUGAGUAACACGUGGGUAACCUGCCUGUAAGACUGGGAUAACUCCGGGAAACCGGAGCUAAUACCGGAUAGUUCCUUGAACCGCAUGGUUCAAGGAUGAAAGACGGUUUCGGCUGUCACUUACAGAUGGACCCGCGGCGCAUUAGCUAGUUGGUGAGGUAACGGCUCACCAAGGCGACGAUGCGUAGCCGACCUGAGAGGGUGAUCGGCCACACUGGGACUGAGACACGGCCCAGACUCCUACGGGAGGCAGCAGUAGGGAAUCUUCCGCAAUGGACGAAAGUCUGACGGAGCAACGCCGCGUGAGUGAUGAAGGUUUUCGGAUCGUAAAGCUCUGUUGUUAGGGAAGAACAAGUGCAAGAGUAACUGCUUGCACCUUGACGGUACCUAACCAGAAAGCCACGGCUAACUACGUGCCAGCAGCCGCGGUAAUACGUAGGUGGCAAGCGUUGUCCGGAAUUAUUGGGCGUAAAGGGCUCGCAGGCGGUUUCUUAAGUCUGAUGUGAAAGCCCCCGGCUCAACCGGGGAGGGUCAUUGGAAACUGGGAAACUUGAGUGCAGAAGAGGAGAGUGGAAUUCCACGUGUAGCGGUGAAAUGCGUAGAGAUGUGGAGGAACACCAGUGGCGAAGGCGACUCUCUGGUCUGUAACUGACGCUGAGGAGCGAAAGCGUGGGGAGCGAACAGGAUUAGAUACCCUGGUAGUCCACGCCGUAAACGAUGAGUGCUAAGUGUUAGGGGGUUUCCGCCCCUUAGUGCUGCAGCUAACGCAUUAAGCACUCCGCCUGGGGAGUACGGUCGCAAGACUGAAACUCAAAGGAAUUGACGGGGGCCCGCACAAGCGGUGGAGCAUGUGGUUUAAUUCGAAGCAACGCGAAGAACCUUACCAGGUCUUGACAUCCUCUGACAACCCUAGAGAUAGGGCUUUCCCUUCGGGGACAGAGUGACAGGUGGUGCAUGGUUGUCGUCAGCUCGUGUCGUGAGAUGUUGGGUUAAGUCCCGCAACGAGCGCAACCCUUGAUCUUAGUUGCCAGCAUUCAGUUGGGCACUCUAAGGUGACUGCCGGUGACAAACCGGAGGAAGGUGGGGAUGACGUCAAAUCAUCAUGCCCCUUAUGACCUGGGCUACACACGUGCUACAAUGGACAGAACAAAGGGCUGCGAGACCGCAAGGUUUAGCCAAUCCCACAAAUCUGUUCUCAGUUCGGAUCGCAGUCUGCAACUCGAACUGCGUG